UGAGGGAAUAUUGGGUCAAUGGGGCGGAAGCCUGAACCAGCCAAGUAGCGUGAGGGAUGACUGCCCUAUGGGUUGUAAACCUCUUUUAUAAGGGAAUAAAUACGGGACGUGUCCUGUUUUGCAUGUACCUUAUGAAUAAGGACCGGCUAAUUCCGUGCCAGCAGCCGCGGUAAUACGGAAGGUCCGGGCGUUAUCCGGAUUUAUUGGGUUUAAAGGGAGCGUAGGCCGUCGUUUAAGCGUGUUGUGAAAUGCCGCGGCUCAACCGUGGCACUGCAGCGCGAACUGGAUGACUUGAGUUCGCGGGGGU
rnacentral:rRNA from 1 species